UACGGAGGGGGCUAGCGUUGUUCGGAAUUACUGGGCGUAAAGCGCACGUAGGCGGCUUUGUAAGUUAGAGGUGAAAGCCCGGGGCUCAACUCCGGAAUUGCCUUUAAGACUGCAUCGCUAGAAUUGUGGAGAGGUAAGUGGAAUUCCGAGUGUAGAGGUGAAAUUCGUAGAUAUUCGGAAGAAAAACAGUGGAGAAGGCGACUUACUGGACACAUAUUGACGAUGAGGUGCGAAAGCGUGGGGAGCAAACAGG
rnacentral:rRNA from 1 species